rfam:Desulfobacteraceae bacterium 4572_187 ex4572_187_scaffold_16942, whole genome shotgun sequence.
CGAGCAGCCCAGACGGUCGCUGGAUCAUUAAAAAAUCCAGAGGAAAGUCCGAACACCAUAGGGCAGGGUGCUCCAUAACGUGGAGUCACGGCGACGUGAAGGAAAGUGCAACAGAAAGUAUACCGCCCCGCGUUUAAGCGGGGUAAGGGUGAAAAGGUGCGGUAAGAGCGCACCAGUUCCCUGGGUGACCGGGGAAGCUUUGUAAACCCCACCCGGUGCAAGACCAAAUAGGGGGGCGUUUGAGAGCGGCCCGUUCAAGCUCCCGGGUAGGUUGCAAGAGAUGCCCGGCAACCGGCAUCCAUAGAUGAAUGACCGUUAUCCAGUCCGGGGCAACCCGCAUUGGACACAGAAUUCGGCUUAUUGGCUGCUCGGACC